UCCAGGGUAGCCUAGUGGACAUGACAUCCGCCCGGAAAUAGGAACACUGUGGGUUCGAUUUCCAUCCCUGGAC
rnacentral:tRNA from 1 species